rnacentral:rRNA from 1 species
GAUUAACGCUGGCAGUGUGUAUAAUACAUGCAAGUCGACUGCAUUUAGUUGCAGGGCAGACGGGUGAGUAACACGUUGGUUAACUGCCCCGAACUCAGGGAUAACACCGAGAAAUCGGUGAUAAUACCGGAUAGUCCCGCAAGGGUAAAGAUUUAUCGGUUCGGGAGGUGCCUGCGCAAUAUCAGCUUGUUGGUGAGGUAAUGGCUCACCAAGGCUAUGACGUUUAGCUGGUCUGAGAGGAUGAUCAGUCACAAUGGAACUGAGACACGGUCCAUACUCCUACGGGAGGCAGCAGUAAAGAAUCUUCCGCAAUGGGCGAAAGCCUGACGGAGCAACACUGCGUGGUGGAUGAAGGCUUUCGGGUCGUAAACACCUUUUCUGGGGGAAGAAGUUCUGACGGUACCCCAGGAAUAAGCGACGGCUAAUUACG